rnacentral:rRNA from 1 species
GAUGAACGCUGGCGGCGUGCCUAAUACAUGCAAGUCGAGCGAACAGACGAGGAGCUUGCUCCUCUGAUGUUAGCGGCGGACGGGUGAGUAACACGUGGAUAACCUACCUAUAAGACUGGGAUAACUUCGGGAAACCGGAGCUAAUACCGGAUAACAUGUUGAACCGCAUGGUUCAACAGUGAAAGACGGUCUUGCUGUCACUUAUAGAUGGAUCCGCGCCGCAUUAGCUAGUUGGUAAGGUAACGGCUUACCAAGGCAACGAUGCGUAGCCGAACUGAGAGGGUGAUCGGCCACACUGGAGCGGGAACACGGUCCAGACUCCUACGGGAGGCAGCAGUAGGGAAUCUUCCGCAAUGGGCGAAAGCCUGACGGAGCGACGGCGCGUGAGUGAAAAAGGUCUUCGGAUCGUAAAACUCUGUUAUUAGGGAAGAACAAAUGUGUAAGUAACUAUGCACGUCUUGACGGUACCUAAUCAGAAAGCCACGGCUAACUACGUG